CACAAGUUCUGUGCUCAACUUCACCGCUCUUAAAGAGACCCGGGAUCCCUCUGAAGAGGCCCUCGGGAGCUGGAGGCAGGGCAGGGAGAGGCGUGGAGAUGGCUGUGCCAGGUAAAACUAGUUCAUCUCUGGUCCUUUUGAGUACCAUUACCUGUCAAAGAGUCAUAGACUAGGCUGUUGCUUGCUACAAUUUACAUCAAUGAAGAACAGAUCCCUCUGGACUGAGAAGGCUCAGGAACCUUACAGCACCUGAUUGGAGUUUCUCCUGUCGGAGACUGAAUCGACUCUACGGGCGGCAAACACAGCAUAUAAAAGACAACAAUGACAUCCGGAACUCUAUGACAACAAUUUAUUUUACAGGCUCUGAGUAAUUAAAAACAUUGCUAAGGCAGACAGCAAGAGGGGCUCUGAGGGGAAAGGUCCUUGGGGCCAACCUUAAGGACUUGAGUCUGAUCCCACAGUGGAAGAGAGAACUGGCUUGUGCAAGUUGUCCUUUGACCUCCACAGGAGCCACGUAUGCUCUGGCACACACGCCAUCACAAACAAGUGUAAAAAAUGUUUAAAAUGUUUCUAAAGGGAAAAUGGCCCUG